CAGCCAUCUGCUUUAGACUCAGACAGUCCCUUUAUUAUCGUUUCUAUCUCAUUAGAUGCUGACCUGGAUCACAAUUUGUCCACAUCGGUUGUUGCCUCUUUCCCACUGUGUCAGAUGCUGCACCAUUAUUUCAUUCCUCCCUGACCUCAGGCUGCCCUCUCUCAUUGGCUGCAAUUUCAAGACGUCUAUGAAAUGGGUGAAGACUCGAUCCGUUGUCUGAACACGGCCUCUGAGCAGAGCGAACCGCAGCUUCACAGCCUCUCUGAGCAGAAGCCCAGAAGAAUGCGAGCAGAGCGAUGUGAACAGCAGAGGAGCAAAGGGACACGUUACAUGCCAAUAUGUCCCCAGUCUGCCCUUCCGACAGCAGGAGCACAGGACACGGCACAAGCGCUAACUGACAGGUGGGAGCGGCCCGUGGAGUCCCCUCAGCAGCACCAGUGCAAAGGAACCUCUCGGCAAGGGGAGAAACAGAGCAUGAUCCUUCAGUUAGCAUCAGCCACGUGCUGUACUGAUUAUUAAUAUCCCAAUCGCACCGAGAGGCACAGCUGAGAUGAUGACAUCAUUGCAUUAGGCACGGUACAGACACAGGGAGAGGCAGCCCCCCCCCACAAAGUGUUUACCAAAGCAGAGGCUGGGAGGGGAAACAGAGGCACGCAGAGGUGAAGUGACUUGCCUAGGGUCACACAGCAGGUCAGUGGCAUGAACAGAGCACAGGUAUGCCAGGGAUCAGUCCAGUCCAGUAUCCACUAGCCCACGCUACUCCUCCUUUCCCCAUUAUUACUGAGACUCAAGCCAACUUCAAGGAGAUACAUUACACGUUCUAUAAAUGGUGUACAAGGGUCAAUUUAUAAAGAGGUGUAUGCUACUAUGUAAAGGCUGGAAUACUAUAAAAUGCCUCUUAUUUACUCACUUCUCCCUAAGAUUCCUAACUCUGAUGGAAAGCUCUGACAGCAGAAGGUCUGUCACUCCUGAUGACAAGCACAAAUGUUUUCUGUCUUAGGAACAGGUGUCAAGAAAUCUCAACUCCCUAAACCAAAGGAUUAACAUAGUCUGUAAAAACGCACAUACACAAAUACAGUGGGGACACUGAGCACACUCAUAGACUAGGUAUGGGGACCUAGAGGACAAUCAAUACAAGAACAGGAGAAGAAAGAAUUUAACAUUUAACAUUGUGACAGACUGGUUUACACAAAAAAUGGGAUUUAAAGAGCCCAAGGGAGUUAGGUGCCAAAAUCCCAUUUAGUGGCUUUGAAAAUUUCAGCCUUUUUUUAAAGCAAGCCAAACUUCAGAGUCUUCCCCCAUGUGAAAAUAUCUGAUGUAUAAUAAUUUGCAUUCCCAUAGUGCUUUUCACCCCUCUCCCAAAUAUAGCACUUUAAAAAUAUGGGUAAACAUUAUGGGUUGACAUUUUACAGAUGGGGAAACUGAGGCACAAAGAGAUUUUUUUUUUAAGGUUAACGUUGUCAAAAGAGCUGAAGGCACUUCACUGCUUUCGAAGAGUUCACUCUUAGUAACUUGCCCAGGGCCAAACAACAUAUCCAGGGCAGAGCUGGGACUAGAAUGCUAUUGUGUUUGUAUGAUAAAGAAAUGUUAAUACAUACACAGUAUAGAGAAAAAGAAACCCACCAAAAAGAGAACUUCUGUUUCAGACCUUAAACCAAAAAAGUCAGUUGAAAAUGUGAGACUUCACACAGACUCUUGAAGGAUGAUAUUCAGGAAUCCUUGGGAAUGAAAUAAGUAAUGUAUUCCAAUUCCAGACAAUUUAUGACAUUAAAUAUUAAAUGCUAAGAUCGUAAUUUAAAAUAAAUGUAUAAAAGUUAGCAACAUUAUAAAUCUUUAGCUAAUCGUUCUAGGUCUGUCUCUUGGAGUAAAGUGUCUGUUAGUUCUAUAUUGCCACAACUGGCAUGGCAGAGUCUUUUGUAGUACUUCUUUAUUCCCACAACUGGACAAACAAGAGAAUGAAUAGGAGUGGGGAAGGCAGGGUUCAGAAACAUUCAGCACUGGCCUAACUCUGCUCCCGUUGAAGCCAAUGGUAAAACUCCCAUUGACUUCAAACUAUGAUCUCCAUAUAUACUGUUGCUGUACAAAAUUGUGAUAUAGCUGCAGGAAAAAUUGGGAUAUCAGCUAUGAUUCACUGAAAAGGGUGAUUUUGGGAGAUUUCAACACAUCACUCUACUAGAAGAUCCAGCACCAUGUAGAGCCCAGAUGACCUUUCAGUCUGUUUAUCAAAGUGCUUCCCACUGCCCUUGUCAAGGCAGGUGAAACAAUAAUAGAUAUGAAAGCAAAGUCAGCUCAGCUGCAUCCAGAACACUUUGUUUCAUUAAAAACACUCCCAAAAGGUCAACAUGGACCUGAUGUUAACUCUUGUUAACUCUUAUUUGUUGUGGCUGUGAGUGCAGAACAGUGAUAACCAAUUUAUGAAUUACGAUAAGACAUUACAGUAGCACCAGAACCUCCCCCAUCCAAUCUGGGUUUUGGUGAAUCAGUUCUAAGUGGUAUUUAAUUCCCUUACAGAGAAAAGGAAAAUAUAAGGCAAGGUUGAUCCUGAUAAUGAAAAGAGGAUGAGAAAGCUGGUUAAGACCCUGGUCUGGGCCUUAUGAGAUCUAGGUUCAGCUUUCUGCUCUGCUACAGACACUCCUUAUAACCUUGGGCAAAUCUUUGAAUUUCUCUGUGCCUCAGGACAAACAGGGUCAAAUCUUGCCCCACUGGAGUGUGGUGAGGGUAAAUUAAUUCCUGGGAGGUGCUCAGAUGAAAUGACAACAGGGGCAAUAUAAAAUCUAGCUAGAGAGAAAAGCCAAAUACUGUGAUUCUAAGCACAAAAAGUCCUCAGAAAAAAAUGAAUGCAAAAUUAUAACAUUGGGCCAACUUCUUAGCUGAUGUAAAUGGUGUAGCUCCACUGACUUCAGUGGACACUAUCUAGUUACACCAGGUGAGGAUCUGCCCCACUCUUUUCCUCUUGCUCAAUACCAUUACCUCUAUAGAAUAUAUUUCAUACUAGGUCAAUUUACUGUUAAAUUAGACAGUGAAGAUCUUAUGAGAGAAUAUCUGCAACAAAGCCCACUCCUUUCUUACUCUAAUACAUCAUAUGUAUAUUGUACAUGCCAAAGAAAUCACUCUUGUCUGCAGUAUUCUAGUAUUGUGAACCUAUGCACAAAAUUAGGAUGUUGCUAAGAAACCUGUUACUUUAUCAACAUUAUCCACAGAAUGAUGGAAAAAUGGCUAAUUGUGAGAAACAGACAUGUUUCAGUCAAUUGUAUGUGGUUGAUUUAUUACUGUUGGAUUGAUCGGUUAGACUAAUCGUGGACAAUACUUAAUAUUUCAUAUUGUUUCACUGUAUUUGCCUACUUCUCCAUGAUCUCUUCCAUGCUGCCCCUUAUACAUGGGAAAAGCUCCCCAUCAAAAUAGCCACUUAAUGUUUUAAAUCCGUCCUUAAAGCCUACUUCUGCCUUGACUUCUGUCUGGUAUUUCUUAGGCAAGUGGUGAAUUCUGAUUUCUGCUUUUAUGCGAAAUAUGUUUUUGCAUUACAUCCUUCUGCUAACAUGCCACCUUUGUUUCUCUAUUUUUAACUCCUGUUGCAUUCUGUCUAAACCCUAGAUGGUGAUCUCUCUGGGGCAGAGGCUGUCGUCUUUGUUACUUCUUUGUACAGCACCUAGCACAAUGGGGCUCAGAUGGGGUUCCGACAUGCUACCCUAAUAAACAGUCAUUUAUU